CAAAACGGAGGAAAAGAAACCAACAGGGAUUGCCCUAGUAACGGCGAGUGAAGCGGCAACAGCUCAAAUUUGAAAUCUGGCUCUCGGGCCCGAGUUGUAAUUUGUAGAGGAUACUUUUGAUGCGGUGCCUUCCGAGUUCCCUGGAACGGGACGCCAUAGAGGGUGAGAGCCCCGUCUGGUUGGAUGCCAAAUCUCUGUAAAGUUCCUUCAACGAGUCGAGUAGUUUGGGAAUGCUGCUCUAAAUGGGAGGUAUAUGUCUUCUAAAGCUAAAUACCGGCCAGAGACCGAUAGCGCACAAGUAGAGUGAUCGAAAGAUGAAAAGCACUUUGAAAAGAGAGUUAAAAAGUACGUGAAAUUGUUGAAAGGGAAGCGUUUAUGACCAGACUUGGGCUUGGUUAAUCAUCUGGGGUUCUCCCCAGUGCACUUUUCCAGUCCAGGCCAGCAUCAGUUUUCCCCGGGGGAUAAAGGCGGCGGGAAUGUGGCUCUCUUCGGGGAGUGUUAUAGCCCACCGUGUAAUACCCUGGGGGGGACUGAGGUUCGCGCAUCUGCAAGGAUGCUGGCGUAAUGGUCAUCAACGACCCGUCUUGACA
rnacentral:rRNA from 1 species